UACGAAGGGGGCUAGCGUUGCUCGGAAUCACUGGGCGUAAAGCGCACGUAGGCGGAUUGCUAAGUCAGGGGUGAAAUCCUGGAGCUCAACUCCAGAACUGCCUUUGAUACUGAGGAUCUUGAGUUCGGGAGAGGUGAGUGGAACUGCGAGUGUAGAGGUGAAAUUCGUAGGUAUUCGCAAGAACACCAGUGGCGAAGGCGGCUCACUGGCCCGAUACUGACGCUGAGGCACGAAAGCGUGGGGAGCAAACAGG
rnacentral:rRNA from 1 species